rnacentral:lncRNA from 1 species
CUAACCCGACCUUGCCAGAUGGCAAAUGCAACAUGCUAGGUAUAAUGUAUAAGCAAGGAGGUGUCAUGUGGACCUCCUGGGAAUCCACCAUCUUCAUCUUCAUCUUCAUCUUCAUCUUCUUCCUCACUAUAGUCAUCCUACUGUUAACAUAGUUGCCCUGACCAUAUCCUUGCCAUAUAAACUCGUCCUGCUAGAUAUCCUCAUGCUCAUCAAUAACGUCCACAAGAUAUUCUUCUACACAUCUUAUAUGAGUAGAUGUCGUAGGUAGUAUCCUUUCACCAUGUAAUGAAGAUGAAGGUUCACCACGAGAAGAUGAAGCCUC